rnacentral:lncRNA from 1 species
CUGCCCUUCCACGAAAUAUUUAAUUAGAAUUUUUUUAAAUGUUUAAGAAUUUUCGAAAAUUCUACCUGACAACCGAUCAGACAAUAGUUUUAAGUUGAAUCAAUGCAGACAAGAUCAUUAACUGAUGCUCAUUAGCUAGUAGAUACAUUUGUCUUUUAAAAUACAACUGACAAAUAAGGAUCGUAAUAGUGCUAUGUGGAUAAAUUUAUCGGUUUUCAAGAGCAAAAUUGGCAGCGCGUCAUC